CACCACGCAGCGCCAGGUUUGUAGAGGGUCCGGUUAGCCGGACCAGUCGCAGAUGCGAUGGGCUCCUCGAACUGGGGCGUGGUGGGUU
rnacentral:ncRNA from 12 species